rnacentral:rRNA from 1 species
GAGUUUGAUCCUGGCUCAGGAUGAACGCUGGCGGCGUGCUUAACACAUGCAAGUCGAGCGGACAGAUUUAGUGAAUCCCUUCGGGGUGAAACUAAUGAAGUUAGCGGCGGACGGGUGAGUAACGCGUGGGCAACCUGCCCUGUGCAGGGGGAUAACAUGGCGAAAGCCAUGCUAAUACCCCAUAAGACUAAAAUGUCGCAUGGCAAAUUAGUCAAAGAUUUAUCGGCACAGGAUGGGCCCGCGUCUGAUUAGCUAGUUGGUGGGGUAAAAGCCUACCAAGGCGACGAUCAGUAGCCGACCUGAGAGGGUGAUCGGCCACACUGGAACUGAGACACGGUCCAGACUCCUACGGGAGGCAGCAGUGGGGAAUAUUGCACAAUGGGGGAAACCCUGAUGCAGCAACGCCGCGUGAGCGAAGAAGGCCUUCGGGUCGUAAAGCUCUGUCCUAAGGGAAGACAAACGACGGUACCUUAGAAGGAAGCCCCGGCUAACUACGUGCCAGCAGCCGCGGUAAUACGUAGGGGGCAAGCGUUAUCCGGAAUCACUGGGCGUAAAGGGUGCGUAGGCGGCUAAGUAAGCCAGGGGUGAAAGGCUACGGCUCAACCGUAGUAAGCCUUUGGAACUGCUUAGCUUGAGCGCAGGAGAGGAGAGUGGAAUUCCUAGUGUAGCGGUGAAAUGCGUAGAUAUUAGGAGGAACACCAGUGGCGAAGGCGACUCUCUGGACUGCAACUGACGCUGAGGCACGAAAGCGUGGGGAGCGAACAGGAUUAGAUACCCUGGUAGUCCACGCCCUAAACGAUGAAUGUUAGUCGUCGGGUAGCUAGUCUAUUCGGUGAUGCAGCUAACGCAUUAAACAUUCCGCCUGGGGAGUACGGUCGCAAGAUUAAAACUCAAAGGAAUAGACGGGGACCCGCACAAGUGGUGGAGCAUGUGGUUUAAUUCGAAGAUACGCGAAGAACCUUACCUAGCCUUGACAUAUUUAAGAACACUUUAGAGAUAGAGUGGUGCCUUCGGGAGCUUUUAUACAGGUGCUGCACGGCUGUCGUCAGCUCGUGUCGUGAGAUGUUGGGUUAAGUCCCGCAACGAGCGCAACCCUCGUCACUAGUUACUAACGGUUCGGCCGAGGACUCUAGUGAGACUGCCUUCGCAAGGAGGAGGAAGGUGAGGACGACGUCAAGUCAUCAUGGCCCUUACGGCUAGGGCAACACACGUGCUACAAUGGCCAGGACAAUGAGAAGCGAUACCGCGAGGUGGAGCAAAUCUAUAAACCUGGUCUCAGUUCGGAUAGCAGUCUGCAACUCGACUGCUUGAAGCUGGAAUCACUAGUAAUCGUAGAUCAGCUAUGCUACGGUGAAUACGUUCCCGGGUCUUGUACUCACCGCCCGUCACACCAUGGGAGUUGAUUUCACCCGAAGCGGGGAAGCUAAACUGGCUACCCUCCACGGUGGAAUCAGCGACUGGGGUGAAGUCGUAACAAGGUAACCGUA